rnacentral:lncRNA from 1 species
UCUAAGGCGCAUGCAAGCUUCAUAUCCUAUCGGCGGAGGUUUGGUGCUAGAUAGAAUUGAUGAGCACUAUCUCGAGCUCAACACUUUUGGUUUGAGAUCGAAUUUUUCGAGGAAAAGCCCCAGACCCCAGCUGAGACCCUAUGUCAAAAGAAGUCAUGGAUGACGUUGAAGCAUCAAAUACUAAGACGAAGGCUGAGGCCUUCAAUAUAGAAUUUCCUGUUGAUGCUUCAAUUGAAGAAGCGCUACCUCCACAACCUUAGUUUUGUAGGACAUGCUUUUUGUAAUUUGGCUGAUGCCAUUUUUGUACUACAUCCUUAUUAUUAAUUAUGAUUCUUCUUCUU